rnacentral:rRNA from 1 species
UACGGGGGGGGUAAGCGUUGUUCGGAAUUACUGGGCGUAAAGGGCUCGUAGGCGGCCAACUAAGUCAGACGUGAAAUCCCUCAGCUUAACUGGGGAACUGCGUCUGAUACUGGAUGGCUUGGAUUCGGGAGAGGAAUGCGGAAUUCCAGGUGUAGCGGUGAAAUGCGUAGAGAUCGGGAGGAAGGCCGGUGGCGAAGGCGGCGCUCUGGAACAUUUCUGACGCUGAGGCUCGAAAGCGUGGGGAGCAAACAGG